UUGAAUCUUUGUCUUCGGAUUUGAAUUUGGAUAUUAAUUCAUUACAAACACUUGAAUGAUUGCCACGAAUGGUGAAUAUGAAUAAGUAACUUGAUCUUGAAUAAAAUUUCCUUCGUUCUUGAUCUUGAACUUGAUCUUGAGCGUGAUUGCUUAAAACUUAUAACUUGUAGAGAAAUUAUGAUUUUUGAUCCACGAGCUCUC
rnacentral:lncRNA from 1 species